AAUACGAAGGGGGCAAGCGUUGUUCGGAAUUACUGGGCGUAAAGGGCGCGUAGGCGGCUUAUCAAGUCAGGCGUGAAAUUCCCGGGCUCAACCUGGGGGCUGCGCUUGAUACUGAUGAGCUUGAAUGCGGGAGAGGAUAGUGGAAUUCCCAGUGUAGAGGUGAAAUUCGUAGAUAUUGGGAAGAACACCGGUGGCGAAGGCGGCUAUCUGGCCCGUAAUUGACGCUGAGGCGCGAAAGCGUGGGGAGCAAACAGGA
rnacentral:rRNA from 1 species